AAGAGGAGGAGAGCUCUGAGCUACCAACUGUGUGGCAAGAGGAGAGCAAUGUACCAUCACCUCCAGCACCUGGAGAGGAUGCAGGAGCACAAUCUCCAGGACCAGCAGAGGACAGUGGACAGGUGGAGGACAGUGACAGCUGUGUAGUGGAAAUCAUCAAGAAAGUGCAUAUUAAUGAAGAGGAUCACCUCAUUGAGGGUGAGACGGGAGAACAGGUGGAAACUGAGCUGCUCAGUGAGACAGUAAGCAGGGGGUCUGAAACAAAAGAAGAAACAGGAGAAGCUGUGGAGAGUGCAGCAGCAACAGAGAUAGAGACAGCUAGUAACAAGGAAUAGAAGUUAUGUCUCUAUGAACAUGUUCUUGGGCCUGCUCUUCUAUCAGCACAAACACUUUCUAAUGUUAUUGGGCUGGGAAAAUAAAAAAGCUUUUAUGGAUUGAGCCA
rnacentral:lncRNA from 14 species